rnacentral:snRNA from 8 species
GUACUUACCUGGCAGGGGAGAUACCAUGAUCAAGAAGGUGGUUCACCCAGGGCGAGGCUUGGCCAUUGCACUCCGGCCACACUGACCCCUGCGAACGGCGAUUGACCUGUACGGCGUGCAAAUUUAAC